AGGAAAUUAGGGGAUUAGUAUAUCAGAGUGAGAUUCAAACUCUCCCCACACACAGUUGGGUGGACAAUCUGGAGGUUCUCCUGGACUUCCACUCGAUCAUGAUAGUGGAAGUUCCUCUGCAAAUGAGGCUGCAACAAAUACCUCUACUGGCAAGGGCACUCAUAAAGGUAGAGGUCAGGCAAAAUUAAUAGUCGUUGAUUCACCACUUCCUAUUCAAUUCAAUGAAAGAGGGCAGCCAGUUGGUCCGAAUAGCGAAAAAAUAUCUAGUAGCUGUAGAGUACUAGCAUGAGAGAAUGUACCAAUCUCAUGUCAAGACUAGAAAAAAGCUUCAAAAGAUAAACAACGUCUCCUAUGGGUAGCUAUAAAGAAACUAUUUGAAGUGCCUGAUUGUCAUAGAAAAUCAACUUUUCAAAGCAUGGGAAAGAGUUGGAGUGAUUACAAAUCACGCCUUACCAACGAUAUAAUUGAAGCGGAAGGUGACAUAGAAGUCAUUAACUUAUUGAGACCUGGCAAUAUAAAAUCAAUUGAAGAGUGGCAAUAGUUCGUCAGUGAUCGACUCUCUGAUAACCACAAAGCAAAGAGACAAAAAUUUCAAGACUUGCGAAGUAUGCAAAAGUUACCACACAUAACAAGUCGUAGGGAGUAUGCUCGUCUAGAACAU